rnacentral:rRNA from 1 species
AUUGAACGCUGGCGGCAGGCCUAACACAUGCAAGUCGAACGCGAAAGUCCUUCGGAUGAGUAGAGUGGCGGACGGGUGAGUAACGCGUAGGAAUCUACCUAGUAGUGGGGGAGUAACUUGGGGAAACUCAAGCUAAUACCGCAUACGCCCCAAGGGGGAAAGCGGAGGAUCUUCGGACUUCGUGCUAUUAGAUGAGCCUGCGUAAGAUUAGCUAGUUGGUAGGGUAAAGGCCUACCAAGGCUACGAUCCAUAGCUGGUCUGAGAGGACGAUCAGCCACACUGGAACUGAGACACGGUCCAGACUCCUACGGGAGGCAGCAGUAGGGAAUAUUGUGCAACGGGCGAAAGCCUGACACAGCCAUGCCGCGUGUGUGAAGAAGGCCCUAGGGUUGUAAAGCACUUUCAGUAGGGAGGAAUUAGUAGGGUUAAUAACCUUAUGAAAUGACGUUACCUACAGAAGAAGUACCGGCUAACUCCGUGCCAGCAGCCGCGGUAAAGUCAGUG